rnacentral:lncRNA from 1 species
AAAUGAUCCAAGAGAUGGAACACCUCUCCUACGAGGACAGGCUGAGAGAGCUGGACAGUUUUGCCUGGAGAAGAGAAGGCUGUGAGGAGAACUGAGAGCGGCCUUUCAGUAUCUAAAGGGGAGCUACAGGAAAGAAGGGGACAAACUCUUUAGCAGGGUGUGUGGUGACAGAACAAGGGGAAAUGGCUUCAAGCUUGAAGAGGGGAGAUUUAGGCUACAUAUGUGGAAAAAGUCUUUUACAGUGAGGGUUGUGAGGCACUGGAACGGGUUGAUGAAGUGAUGUGGUGGAUUCCACUGUCCCUGGAGACUUUCGAGGCCAGGAUGGAUCAAGCCCUGGGCAACCUGAUCUAGCUGUGGUGUCCCUGUUCACUGCAGGGUAGUUGGAUCAGAUGGACCUUUAAAGGUCCCUUCCAACUCCAAGGAUUCUAUGAUUCUAUCUUUACAUAAUAUUUACUGUCUACCAGGUAUGAAUGAUUUAGUUAUACAUACUAAUUUUUGUUUGUCUUUAUAUCAAUUUGUAAAGUCUUUUGAAUACAGCUUUUUUGUUCUGCGCUUUUUGUUACUGUUGACAAGCUUCUGAAACACUGGCAGAACCAUUAGAAUAUUUCUUCUUUUGCAGUGUACGUGCUUUGAGAAGCAAAACUUGAGAUUUAAAUUAACUAUAUUUCUUGAAAGUGACUGCACACAAGCAGACGCUUUUGGAAAACAUAAAAAACAAAUAAGAUGUGCUUCUAAAGACAGGUUUUAGGAAGCCCCUUCAAAUUGCCCAGUCAUUAUCGAGUAAGUUUACAGCUGGUGUGCUGGGUUGUAGUGGUCUGGCAUCUGAACUAGAUCAUCUUUGAAGGUUCUGUCCAAUUGAUCUGUUAUAUUCUACUCUACUCUAGUCUACUCUAUUCUAUUCCAUUCCACUCCAUUCCAACCCACUCUACCCCAUUCCAUUCUGUUCCACUCCAGUCCAUUUUCUGUUCCGUUUUCUAUCCUAUCUGACAUCCAACAGUUGCAUCAUAUAUUUACAACUCUUUAUAUUGGAGUAGAUUUAGUUCCAUGACUGAUUGUAUUCAAGCGGCAAGGAAAUUAACCAAGGAAAUGUGAAAGCUAUAAAACAUAUCCCUUCAAAAUUUAAAACUAAUUCAAUUUCCAGCAGGCAUUCAUGUGUUCCUGGCCAGGAAAACAAAAUAAGUAAAACUGGAGAGCACUGGGAAGAGUUCUGCAAGAGCUUCGGCCAGCAGCUCUGGCAUUCCAGGAAAGAUGGAGCCCCAGCAGAUGCCCCACUUACAUGUGGACUUCUUUUAACUGAAGGCAAGUUCUCUUUCUUUUCUGUUUCUCUGGAAGUGAUUGAAAUGCUUUGUCAGUCUGUCUGUACCUCACUGCUGCACAAUGACUUGCCCUGCUUCAGGCUACCAAAUAUUUGGGUUCGUCAGGCCGGAGUUUCAUGACCUUUUCCACACAGAGCAGAAUGAGAGUCAGAAACCAGAGGCUCCAGCCAACAGCCGCUGCAAUCCAUCCGUAAUCGUCGAC